GCGUCAUUCCUGCUUUCGGUGGAAAAGAUUAAUCUCUUCACUAAAAAAACGAGGCUUCAACUACGAAAAGAUUAGAAACCCUAAAAAAAGGUAAUGGCGUGCUCGAAACAUCUGCGCACCGCCCUCCGGUACACUCGUAACCGAGCCACCGUCGCCGCUAUCGCCCCAAUUCGUGGCUUUUCCACAGCUGCCGCUGCGGCGGAGAUUAAUGAAGAUGAAGCAGGGAUCUUCAUGAAAGGGGUGCGUAUCCGGGGGCGACCUCUCUACCUGGACAUGCAAGCAACUUCCCCGGUUGACCCAAGGGUGAUUGACGCUAUGCUGCCCUUCUAUCUCUCCCGCUACGGCAAUCCCCAUUCUCGCACCCACCUCUACGGCUGGGAGUCGGAUCAUGCCGUGGAGGCGGCACGCGAGCAGGUCGCAGCUCUCAUCGGCGCAUCUCCGAAAGAGAUCGUCUUCACCUCUGGAGCCACCGAGUCGAACAACAUAUCGAUAAAAGGUGUUAUGCACUUCUACAAGGACAAGAAGAGGCACGUCAUCACUACCCAGACGGAGCACAAGUGCGUUCUUGAUUCCAGCAGGCAUCUCCAGCAGGAAGGAUUCGAUGUAACCUACUUGCCCGUUGGAAAAGAUGGGAUUGUCGAUCUGGAUAAGUUGGAAGCAGCUAUUAGACCGGAUACCGGGCUGGUCUCUGUCAUGGCUGUCAAUAACGAAAUUGGGGUUAUUCAGCCUAUGGAAGAAAUUGGGAAGAUUUGCAAGCAACGCAAUGUCCCGUUCCAUACUGAUGCUGCCCAAGCUUUGGGGAAGAUUCCCAUUGAUGUGGAGAAAUGGAAUGUGAGCUUGAUGUCUCUGAGUGGCCACAAGAUUUAUGGACCCAAAGGCGUUGGAGCUCUGUACAUGAGGCGGCGCCCGCGUAUUCGGGUUGAGCCCCAGAUGAACGGAGGUGGACAGGAGAGAGGGAUCCGUAGCGGGACCGUGCCAACGCCUUUGGUCGUUGGAUUUGGCGCGGCGUGUGAGGUGGCCAUGAAGGAGAUGGAAUAUGAUGACCAGAGGAUCAGGGCUUUGCAGGAGAGGUUGCUUAAGGGAAUCCGUGAGAAACUCGAUGAGGUUGUCGUGAAUGGGAGCAUGGAGAGGCGCUAUGCAGGGAACUUGAACUUGUCGUUCGCGUACGUUGAAGGAGAGAGCUUGUUGAUGGGGCUGAAGGAGGUGGCUGUUUCAAGUGGGAGCGCCUGCACCAGCGCUAGCUUGGAGCCCUCUUAUGUGCUCAGAGCUUUGGGGGUUGAGGAGGAUAUGGCCCAUACUUCCAUUAGGUUUGGCAUUGGGAGGUUCACCACGGAGGAGGAGAUUGACCGGGCUAUUGAGCUUACAGUGUCUCAGGUUCAGAAGUUGAGAAACAUGAGCCCUCUUUACGAGAUGGUGAAGUCAGGAAUUGACAUUAAGCAGAUUCAAUGGGCACAGCAUUGACAGAGUUUUAGCAUGCAGGAUCUCUUGAAAGUUGCACUUGCUGGGAGGGAACUCGUGUGAAGUAAGAGGCCCUGCUCAUGAUACACCUGGUCUUCUGAUAGUUGAACAUUGUAUCCUUUGGUUCCCGAGAUAAACAGGGAUAAAACUCGCGGUGAAGAUCAGUUAUUUGCAAAUGGAUCCCCUUGCGAUGCCUUCCUAUAUCAAUUGAACUAAUGGAUAAGAUAGCUGAGUACUUUGACAAGAUGUAACUCUUGUUGCACAAAUAUAUCAUAUAUGAAUCAGUUACUUUAGAGUUGACAUGUUGAAUCCUGAUAGCUUCAUCAUAUUAUGGAUUCCUUGAGGUACAGACCCAGAUUUUCUUUUCCAUGAGACAGGAGGCUGCUCUGUGUAUUUCACAUUCUAGGAACACAACCCGAAAAUUGAGAUUAAGUUGAUAUAAAUUUUGCAGGGCCGCGGUAUCCUCAUCGGCCAAUCUUAUUAGGAUAGCUACAGAGAGUUGGACUCUUAUAGAGAUGUAUUUACAUGACUAAUCAUGUUGGAAACAAUUUUAGGCUUUGAACAAACAA